GACGAACGCUGGCGGCGUGCUUAACACAUGCAAGUCGAACGGAAAGGCCCUGCUUUUGUGGGGUGCUCGAGUGGCGAACGGGUGAGUAACACGUGAGUAACCUGCCCUUGACUUUGGGAUAACUUCAGGAAACUGGGGCUAAUACCGGAUAGGAGCUCCUGCUGCAUGGUGGGGGUUGGAAAGUUUCGGCGGUUGGGGAUGGACUCGCGGCUUAUCAGCUUGUUGGUGGGGUAGUGGCUUACCAAGGCUUUGAGGGGUAGCCGGCCUGAGAGGGUGACCGGGGACAAGGGGAGUGAGAGAGGGAGCAGACGGGAAGGGGGGACAGCAGGGGGGAGUAUGGCAGAAUGGGGGUGAGGGUGAGAAAGAGGCUCGGCGAGGGGGAAGAAUGUGUUGGGGGGAUGAAAGGAAUUAGGCUGGGAAAUAGCGGGCGUGACGGGAAGGAGAAAAGAAGAACCGGCGAAAUACGUG
rnacentral:rRNA from 1 species